rnacentral:rRNA from 1 species
GACGUAGGGCGCGAGCGUUGUCCGGAUUUAUUGGGCGUAAAGAGCUCGUAGGCGGCUCGUUGCGUCGGCUGUGAAAACCCGCAGCUCAACUGUGGGCUUGCAGCCGAUACGGGCGGGCUGGGAUUCGGUAGGGGAGACUGGAAUUCCUGGUGUACCGGUGAAAUGGGUUGAUAUCAGGAGGAACACCGAUGGCGAAGGCAGCUCACUGGCCGUUAUCUGACGCUGAGGCGCGAAAGCGUGGGUAGCAAACAGG